GGCUGCUUGGUGGUGAGGAGGCUGGAGUUGGCCUCGGGGUGAAGCAGAGAGACCAGCUAAGAGGGCGCUGCCCAGUAAUCCUGGUGACAGAUGGUGGGCCCUGUGGGUGAAGUCUGUGUGCGCUUCUUGUCCUGCAGAGGGAACAAGCAGGACGAGGAGGAGAACCAGGUGUCAGCGUGAAGAAAAUGAGAGCGCUGGGGAGAACGAAGGCAGGCUGUUUCCUUCAGGUCCACUGGACAACGGACAGUGAUUGUGGCCUCAAGAUCCAAUCACUCAGAGAGAGGUGCGAGGGAACUCAGCUCCAGGUUUUUCUUGGUUGUGCUCUCUUCCUGAAGCCCUCUGUGGUGUCAGCCAGUCAUGGAUAAACGAGACUCUGAAGUGAAGCCCAGCACCCCGACACUGCGCAUCAGGAGGAAGGCAGAUGAAUACCUAAAACCCACCCUGGUCUACAAAAACGUGCUGAGCUUUUUACUCGGUAGGCAGCUAGGGGGGCACAAAAACGAUGUGCAUCUGUCACGGUGGCUGUGGAUGUUGACACAAACCACACCAGAGUGGAGCUGGCCUUUGCCAAAAAGUCCUGUGGGUAACCCACCUGUUCUCCUUGGGGAUUAUGAAAAAUCCCAGAAAAUGAUGUGGAUCAACAAAUCCUUCCCCUGAUAGAAGCAUUAAAAUUGAAGCUAUGUUUUCACGUC
rnacentral:lncRNA from 1 species